CCCCCGCCCACUCCACACACUCUCCCAUCAUGCAGCGGGGGAACCGCUGCCGCCGACACGUCACUUCCGGGCGCAGGUGGCUAGGGGAAUUGGUGUCACAGAACGCUUAUCCCUGCGCAGGCGCUGUCGUGCAGAGCGCCGACCGCCAUUUUGGGUGCGGGCAAGCUGCCCUUUCCUUUUACUUCCUUGCGAGUCAUAGAGCUGUAGGGGGAUAGACGUCUUCCCGCACUCAGGCGCCGGUUGAGGCUGCGCUCCUGGCGAAGGACAGGUGCUCCUUUCAGCCGGUUAACGUUCAGCUCAAGACCGGAUUAAGUCUCUUGCUCUCCAAAUAAAAUUGUAAAGGUUUGGAAAUAUAGAACCACAUUUUUACCAAAAACCUACUAGAGAGCAUUCGUCAGCUUGCCCUUUUCGCCCCGAAAAACGACUUUUUCAUUCACAGCCUGUCUCUUCCUCUUUUUAAAUUUAUGCCGACAGAGGAAGAAGCUGAUAUUUAACAAAUAACAAGAGGUUGCGAUAAAUAGAAUUUAAGGUGGGAAAGCAGCCGCCAAACUGACAAAUCGUCUUCGAGACCGACAAGAAAAUAGUAGUCCGGAAUUUGGCUAAUGGAUGGAGAAGGUGGUCGUUUUUCAUAGACCCUUACGGAGAAUAUCUAGUGAAGCUAAAGAGAUCACCAUAAACUUAUGCAUUCAAACGCAUUUCUGGAACAGAGGUCGUAACCGAUUUUGUUUCCAUCAUCAGUCCUGAACAGUUGAUUAUUUAUAUAAUCAACUGUUAUUUAUAUAAAGGUAAUAAAAAUAUUACCUUUCCUCCUCCUUUACAAUGAAUAUCUGUUAGAACACCUGCCAGUGUAACAAUCAGACUACAAGGCUACAGGAUUAUGAUUACUGUCUCGGAUGAUGAGCCCGGGGUCCUACAAAUCAUGACCCCCGCCGGCCCCUCAUUCUGCCCAUAUUUGCCAAACGUCUGCAUCAGUAAUUUGAAUAAUUUAAAAUAGUUCCAAAACAGCAAAGCUCAGCAGUUACGCAAAGAAACAAGAAUGGAAAACAUCCCCUCAGGCACAGAGAAGUGUCCACCCCUUUGGGUGGAGGAAUUAUACAAAUCAGGAGAAAGAUAAGGACAAUAGCAGUUCAUCACGAUUUAUCCCGCCUCUGCAAUGUUCUAGACAAAUUAACUCGGAGCGCUCCAAUGGACCCGCAUUUGUCUCUUUACUAUUCAAUCGCUGUAAGAUAUACGGAGACUGCAUCACUUUAAAUGGGAGUAUCAAUUGCUUUGUGGUUAUGCUGGAUUUUGUGUUAUUGCUCAGUCACUAAAGUAAGAAAAAUCUAUAUGGCUUGUCAAAUUUAUGCCUAUUGUAUUUCGCCCCCUGCUGGUUUAGCUCGUGUGCAAGCUUGAAUUUGUGUGUGUGUAGAAACUAGAAAUUGAUUUUAAACGAACACAUGCUUGUUUUCAUUUUACAGCUCUACUAAACAGAAAUAUCAAAAUAAGAACAUAUGACUAGACCUUAAAGCAGACCCUACACUAAGAACAUGUUUAAACUAAAUGAAUUUAAACUGCACUCCAGCCUGCGCGACAGAGUGAAACCCUGUCUAAAAAAAAAUUAAAUUAAAUUGCACACCCCCCAUCAGCUUACAAUUUUGUAAUAGGGAAAUUGAGUACCUAUUUGGCCAACUAACUUGUAAUUGGUAAUCUUACAUGUAAUUCCGAAGACAGUGCCCUAAUGCUCAUGACAUUUUAUUACAAAGGGAAAGUAUUUGAGUGUUUUUAAGGUGAUAAAUCUGUGGGAAAUAUAAAGUCCAUUUCAUUUGGAGUCAAUGAUAGUAUUGUUUUUAUUUACCUUUUAAAAAUUAUGGCCAUAACUGCAUUACCUAAGAUUUGGCAUCAAGAAAAGAAGAAGAAAAAAAUUACCAGUUAACAUUUGUUGUAUUUACUUCUAGUUUUUUUUUCCUGUGCGUACUUUUUACAAACUUGUAAUCAUAAUUUAAGUAGAUUUUGUGUCCCUUUUGUGUUGUAAGCAUUUCCACCCAUCGUUUAAUGUAAAACCUUAAUUUUAAUUGGCUGCUUAGUAGUCAAUGGAAUGACCACUAUAUGGAUAGUUUUCAGUAUUAUAAAAUAAUACUUAGAUGAACAUUUUGUGUGUGUGGCUUUGUUCAAUUUUAGAAUUUUUUUUCUCAGUAUAAAAGUUACUAAGCGAAAAGGCAAUGAAUGUUUUAUUGGUAAUUUAUCAUCUCAUAUUAUUUUCCAAGAGACUGCUAAUUUAGAAUGCCACCAGCAAUAUAUGAGUGCACUAAUUUUACCACCUCCUUACCAACCAGCAGUGAAUGAUAAUUAAGAGGGGAAAAAAAGAUGGAAAGAAUAAAAAGUGAAAACAGUUU
rnacentral:lncRNA from 1 species